UACGUAGGGGGCUAGCGUUGUCCGGAUUUAUUGGGCGUAAAGAGCGUGUAGGCGGCUAGGUAGGUCCGUUGUGAAAACUCGAGGCUCAACCUCGAGACGCCGGUGGAAACCAUCUAGCUAGAGUCCGGAAGAGGAGAGUGGAAUUCCUGGUGUAGCGGUGAAAUGCGCAGAUAUCAGGAGGAACACCAAUUGCGAAGGCAGCUCGCUGGGACGUUACUGACGCUGAGACGCGAAAGCGUGGGGAGCAAACAGG
rnacentral:rRNA from 1 species